rnacentral:misc_RNA from 1 species
GAUGAAGAACGUAGCGAAAUGCGAUAAGUAGUGUGAAUUGCAGAAUUCAGUGAAUCAUCGAAUCUUUGAACGCACAUUGCGCCCUUUGGUAUUCCAAAGGGCAUGCCUGUUCGAGCGUCAUUUGUACCCUCAAGCUUUGCUUGGUGUUGGGCGUCUUGUCUCUAGCUUUGCUGGAGACUCGCCUUAAAGUAAUUGGCAGCCGGCCCACUGGUUUCGGAGCGCAGCACAAGUCGCACUCUCUAUCAGCAAAGGUCUAGCAUCCAUUAAGCCUUUUUUUCAACUUUUGACCUCGGAUCAGGUAGGGAUACCCGCUGAACUUAAGCAUAUCAAUAACGGAGGA